rnacentral:tRNA from 1 species
UUUCCUGUGGCUCAGUUGGUAGAGCAUUGUGCUAAAAACCUAAAGUUUGUGGGUUCAAAUCUCAGGGAAAA